GAUGAACGCUGGCGGCGUGCCUAAUACAUGCAAGUCGAGCGAACAGACGAGGAGCUUGCUCCUCUGACGUUAGCGGCGGACGGGUGAGUAACACGUGGAUAACCUACCUAUAAGACUGGGAUAACUUCGGGAAACCGGAGCUAAUACCGGAUAACAUGUUGAACCGCAUGGUUCAACAGUGAAAGACGGUCUUGCUGUCACUUAUAGAUGGAUCCGCGCCGCAUUAGCUAGUUGGUAAGGUAACGGCAUACCAAGGCAACGAUGCGUAGCCGGCCUGAGAGGGUGAUAGGCCCCACUGGAACUGGGACACGGUCCAGACUCCUACGGGAGGCAGCAGUAGGAAAUCUUCCGCAAUGGGCGAAAGCCUGACGGAGCAACGCCGCGUGAGUGAAGAAGGUCUUCGGAUCGUAAAACUCUGUUAUUAGGGAAGAACAAAUGUGUAAGUAACUAUGCACGUCUUGACGGUACCUAAUCAGAAAGCCACGGCUAACUACGUG
rnacentral:rRNA from 1 species